rnacentral:rRNA from 1 species
CGCGGCCUAUCAGCUUGUUGGUGAGGUAACGGCUCACCAAGGUGACGACGGGUAACUGGUCUGAGAGGACGACCAGUCGCGCUGGAACUGAGACACGGUCCAGACACCUACGGGUGGCAGCAGUCGAGAAUCAUUCACAAUGGGCGAAAGCCUGAUGGUGCAACGCCGCGUGGAGGAUGACGGUCCUAGGACUGUAAACUCCUGUCAUCAGGGAGUAAAGCACAGGCGUUAAUAGCGUCUUGUGCCUGAUAGUACCUGAAGAGGAAGGGGCGGCUAACUCCGUGCCAGCAGCCGCGGUAACACGGAGGCCCCGAGCGUUGUUCGGAUUUACUGGGCGUAAAGCGUGCGUAGGCGGUUGGGUAAGUCAGAUGUGAAAUCCCGGGGCUCAACCUCGGAACUGCAUCCGAUACUGCCCGACUAGAGGGUUGGAGAGGAGACUGGAAUUCACGGUGUAGCAGUGAAAUGCGUGGAUAUCGUGAGGAAGACCAAUGGCGAAGGCAGGUCUCUGGACAACUCCUGACGCUGAGGCACGAAGGCCAGGGUAGCGAAAAGGAUUAGAUACCCUUGUAGUCCUGGCAGUAAACGGUGCGCGCUUGGUGUGGGGGGAUUCGACCCCCUCCGUGCCGGAGCUAACGCGUUAAGCGCCCCGCCUGGGGAGUACGG